AACGAACGCUGGCGGCAGGCCUAACACAUGCAAGUCGAGCGCGCCCUUCGGGGUGAGCGGCGGACGGGUGUGUAACGCGUGGGAACGUGCCCUUUUCUACGGAAUAGCCUCGGGAAACUGAGAGUAAUACCGGAUACGCUCUUUGGGGGAAAGAUUUAUCGGAAAAGGAUCGGCCCGCGUUGGAUUAGGUAGUUGGUGGGGUAAUGGCCUACCAAGCCGACGAUCCAUAGCUGGUUUGAGAGGAUGAUCAGCCACACUGGGACUGAGACACGGCCCAGACUCCUACGGGAGGCAGCAGUGGGGAAUCUUAGACAAUGGGGGCAACCCUGAUCUAGCCAUGCCGCGUGAGUGAUGAAGGCCUUAGGGUUGUAAAGCUCUUUCAGCUGGGAAGAUAAUGACGGUACCAGCAGAAGAAGCCCCGGCUAACUCCGUG
rnacentral:rRNA from 1 species